rnacentral:rRNA from 1 species
AUUUAUCGGAGAGUUUGAUCCUGGCUCAGGACGAACGCUGGCGGCGUGCCUAAUACAUGCAAGUCGAGCGGACAGAUGGGAGCUUGCUCCCUGAUGUUAGCGGCGGACGGGUGAGUAACACGUGGGUAACCUGCCUGUAAGACUGGGAUAACUCCGGGAAACCGGGGCUAAUACCGGAUGGUUGUUUGAACCGCAUGGUUCAAACAUAAAAGGUGGCUUCGGCUACCACUUACAGAUGGACCCGCGGCGCAUUAGCUAGUUGGUGAGGUAACGGCUCA